AUUGAACGCUGGCGGCGUGCUUAACACAUGCAAGUCGAACGGUAAGGCCCUUCGGGGUACACGAGUGGCGAACGGGUGAGUAACACGUGGGUGAUCUGCCCUGCACUUCGGGAUAAGCCUGGGAAACUGGGUCUAAUACCGGAUAGGACCACUGCCUGCAUGGGUGGUGGGGGAAAGCUUUUGCGGUGUGGGAUGGGCCCGGGGCCUAUCAGCUUGUUGGUGGGGUGAUGGCCUACCAAGGCGACGACGGGUAGCCGGCCUGAGAGGGUGACCGGCCACACUGGGACUGAGAUACGGCCCAGACUCCUACGGGAGGCAGCAGUGGGGAAUAUUGCACAAUGGGCGCAAGCCUGAUGCAGCGACGCCGCGUGAGGGAUGACGGCCUUCGGGUUGUAAACCUCUUUCAGCACCGACGAAGCGCAAGUGACGGUAGGUGCAGAAGAAGGACCGGCCAACUACGUGCCAGCAGCCGCCGUAA
rnacentral:rRNA from 1 species